GUGCUGAGGCGGGGCGGUCUGGAGAGUGUAGGUGGGCCGUUUGAGGGCAGGGUGCGGGGUCACAAACUCGGGGGAGUUAAGAUUGAAAGAACGUGCUGAGUGGAGGGAAGCGCGGUUUUCGUCAGGUGGAAAGGGCACAGGGCUGUGCACAAGGCAGACUGUGCAGGGGAAGGCUGUUGAAAGAAGACUGCCAGGUGAACCAAGUGGCCUUUCUACUGGCUGAUGCUGUUUCAGGAAUGCUGCUGACCUCAGCACUGGUGCUAGAGACUGCUGUCCGGGGCCGUGUCCCCGCACUGGGCACUGCUGCACGUCUGACUGGAUGGGAAUUUCCAGUAAUGUGGAUUUCUUGACCGCUGAGUUCUUGCUGCUCUCUGAACCUUCUGCUGCUGCUGCAGGCAGAGCUGAGCUCUUCAUGCGGCACAGAGGACCACAACCUUCCCUCUGGCUGCUUCGUCUGUUGCCUUUUGUGCUGCAGCAUGGGUUCCUAUAUUGCCCAAAUCAUUGCUCUGCAAUUAAGACCCCAGCAAAGGGACCAUUAGGAAAUCAAACCCGUUGUGGGGGAAAAAAAAAAAAAUGAGUCCCCAUAGUUGGCGUUACUGUUAUGAAAAUAAAGAAGUAAAUUUCCCCAUUUGCUCUGAAUGAUUUUUCAGUUUAUUCACUGCAUGAAGCCAACUGAUCACACCAAGGGGAUUAUUUACACGUACGCAUGCAGGGCAGCAGAGAGACGCGGGGCGGAUAUGGUGAGCUGGUGGAGAGGCAGAGCUGGCUGUGUGAGGGAUGCUUUGCAUAGCUGUGUCAGAAUGAAGUGGUUGUAGCUGCAGAUUAUCUGGCUCGUGGACUUCCUGUGCUUUGUGCUACUCCUGUGUGAGGUAAAGCAAGCCAGAGUACAUGAAGGAAAGUUAAAAUUAAAAAGAAAAAAAAAACCCUUUAGAUUGAAACGUUGUGUUUGCAAAUAAAUAGAAAUAUUCUGCUGUU